UAUGUUCCGUAUUUCGUCGAAUAGUUGCAGCCACCAUAACCCUUUCUUUUUAGCCAAAUGGAUUUUCUUGACAGUCCCCUUUCCUUCUUCUAGUGCUUUGCUCUUUCUCAUCUUUGCUUUAAUAGAAACCUCUGUUAGUUUUCUGCCAUCAUUUGUUUUUUCUCUCUUAGAAGUUUCUGGAUUCACAAUGGUUUAAUUUGUCUUCAUCACCUAUGGCUAUCUCUCUUGCAUGUUAACUGGCUGUGAUGACUUUUCCCUCUUCUUAUGUGAUCGAUCCUUUUAUGACCUUCUUUAAUGUGAUUGGUGCCUUCAUGGACCUCCUUAAAUCGGAAAAAUUAUCUCCGCCUUCUUCUAUAUAUAUAUUUUUUUUAUUUUCCUUCAAAUAGUUCACAGGUGCUUGAACAAAAACCACUUCCUUGAUUAAUUGUUCCCAACCUGCACUUCUCUAUCUGAACUUUAUCUUUUCUUUGUCUGUCUUGUAUAUAUUGCAGCAAACUGUCUCUUCUAUCAACAAACUAUAAUCACCAAGGAAGUAGUUAACUCCAUUAGCAAAUUAGUGGCUUAUCGAAUGAUUGACGUCAGAUGUGUCUGCCUCCAUGUUAAAAUAGUCCGUUGCAGCUAACAAGUAGUCCGUUGCAGCUAAUAAGUAUUUGGCACAUUUGGGUACAGAGAGAAAUGAACUUCACCGAGCUUGGUUGUUCCUGUACUGGUUUUGUGCUUCUCUGUUGGAAGUUAAACCAAAAUAUGAUGUUGAUCCAGUCCGAAUGGAUCAACUGCUGCAGUUGACGCAGUCAAGUUGGAUCAACAGGAACAGUUGACACACUAUGCGAGUUAAUUAGAAGAGCAAGUUGUGUCGGUUCCUUGUUUUAGAGUUUUACUAUAUUUAGAGUUUCUUUGUGUUUCUAGAAGUGUGCUUUAUUUAGAGUUUGUUUUUAAUUAGGAAACUACUUUGAGUGAUUCUCAAGUUUGUGAGAUUAUAAGUAGGCUAAUAAGCCAUGAGACAAUGUACACCAAACUGAUUAUCAAUGUAAUC